rnacentral:rRNA from 1 species
GACUAAUGUUGAAAAAUUAGCGGAUGACCUGUGGCUGGGGGUGAAAGGCCAAUCAAACCGGGAGAUAGCUGGUUCUCCCCGAAAGCUAUUUAGGUAGCGCCUCGUGAAUUCAUCUCCGGGGGUAGAGCACUGUUUCGGCUAGGGGGCCAUCCCGGCUUACCAACCCGAUGCAAACUGCGAAUACCGGAGAAUGUUAUCACGGGAGACACACGGCGGGUGCUAACGUCCGUCGUGAAGAGGGAAACAACCCAGACCGCCAGCUAAGGUCCCAAAGUCAUGGUUAAGUGGGAAACGAUGUGGGAAGGCCCAGACAGCCAGGAUGUUGGCUUAGAAGCAGCCAUCAUUUAAAGAAAGCGUAAUAGCUCACUGGUCGAGUCGGCCUGCGCGGAAGAUGUAACGGGGCUAAACCAUGCACCGAAGCUGCGGCAGCGA